CCGAGCUACCCUGCCGGCAGCACAGAGUGAACAGCGCCGUGCACCCAUCUGGGCCUGACCUGCCUACAUUGUUAGCCUAAAAUACUUUUAUCUGCGCAGCAGAGAAAAAGGAGCACAGACCUCACAGACAGACAGAUUGGGCUCAACAUGCACCUGGGCCUUGAGGAGAAUCUGCCUGUGCAGGGAGGCUCACAUGCUGACCGCGAGCAGACGGAACAAUCCUCGUUUGUUCAUGGAGAAACAAGACCACGGGUGACUCUGGGUAACUGAGACCUCAGGAAGUGAAACCUCAGAUAAAGGAAGCUCGGUCUGUGCAUCUGGGGUCCUGGUAAAAUCAUUUUGGGUGGCUCUCUGGCUUCUGGUCCCGAGUUUUGGAACUCACCUGUAGAAGGUACCCAUGUUGCUUGCAAAGGUAAAUCUCUUCC
rnacentral:lncRNA from 1 species